rnacentral:rRNA from 1 species
CCUACGGGCGGCUGCAGUGGGGAAUAUUGCACAAUGGGCGCAAGCCUGAUGCAGCCAUGCCGCGUGUGUGAAGAAGGCCUUCGGGUUGUAAAGCACUUUCAGCGGGGAGGAAGGCGGUGAGGUUAAUAACCUCAUCGAUCGACGUUACCCGCAGAAGAAGCACCGGCUAACUCCGUGCCAGCAGCCGCGGUAAUACGGAGGGUGCAAGCGUUAAUCGGAAUUACUGGGCGUAAAGCGCACGCAGGCGGUCUGUCAAGUCGGAUGUGAAAUCCCCGGGCUCAACCUGGGAACUGCAUUCGAAACUGGCAGGCUAGAGUCUUGUAGAGGGGGGUAGAAUUCCAGGUGUAGCGGUGAAAUGCGUAGAGAUCUGGAGGAAUACCGGUGGCGAAGGCGGCCCCCUGGACAAAGACUGACGCUCAGGUGCGAAAGCGUGGGGAGCAAACAGGAUUAGAUACCCGAGUAGUC